ACUUAUCUUAAUUCUGUCAAAAAGUACAAUAUAUAUGAAUGAGAUCAAUAUACUAAGAAGAUCGAGCAACCCCAUUUCAUUGGAGAUCAAGGAAAAAGCCAAGCUAGCUAGGAUGGUCGCCGCAACAGCAGCAAGUACUACACCAACAAUAUCUAGUCAUGGCCGUUGCGGUGCUCGUCCUUGCUUGCUCUCGUUGCCGCAUGCUCGCACAGCCUCCUGCAGCAGCCUUGCCGUCGAAUGAAAAGCCUGGAACCACCACCAAAAUGAGGACUCAGGAAGAGGUUGAGCCAAGAAUAGUUGUUGUCAUGGCUGGAGAUGAUUGCCCCUUGUUCCUUGCAAAUCCCACAUCUUUGUCUUUGAUUCAACAUAUAUAGACAUAUAUACAACAAGCUGCUCGAAAUCUCUAGAUUAUUGCUUUUGAUCAUCAGUAGUUUUGUGCGUCUUUAUAUCAGAAAUAGUGCAGGGCCAUCUCUAUAAAUAUGAGCAUCAUCUCUAACUGUCGAUCUAGGUCUAGUUCAUUCUCUAUGGUCCAAAUCAGCUGACUUACGUCCAUAUCCAUCCUAUGGUCCUACUACAACUUCUAUCGUGGUUGUUUAGAAA